rnacentral:tRNA from 11 species
GUGGCCGUAGUUCAGUUGGUAGAACUCGAGAUUGUGAUUCUCGUAGUCAUGGGUUCAACUCCCAUCGGUCACCCCA